rnacentral:rRNA from 1 species
CCUACGGGUGGCAGCAGUGGGGAAUAUUGCACAAUGGGGGAAACCCUGAUGCAGCGACGCCGCGUGAGUGAAGAAGGAAUUCGUUAUGUAAAGCUCUAUCAGCAGGGAAGUAAAUGACGGUACCUGAGUCAGAAGCCACGUCUAAUUACGUGCCAGCAGCCGCGGUAAUACGCAGGGGGCAAGCGUUAUCCGGAUUUACUGGGUGUAAAGGGAGCGUAGACGGCAGUGCAAGUCUGGAGUGAAAGUCGGGGGCUCAACCCCCGGACUGCGCUGGAAACUGUACGGCUGGAGUGCAGGAGAGGUAAGUGGAAUUCCUGGUGUAGCGGUGAAAUGCGUAGAUAUUAGGAGGAACACCGGUGGCGAAGGCAGCUUACUGGACUGUAACUGACGUUGAGGCUCGAAAGCGUGGGGAGCAAACAGGAUUAGAUACCCGGGUAGUC